AGAGUUUGAUCCUGGCUCAGGACGAACGCUGGCGGCAGGCUUAACACAUGCAAGUCGAGCGCGUAGCAAUACGAGCGGCAGACGGGUGAGUAACGCGUGGGAACCUACCCUUUGGUGCGGAAUAACACAGAGAAAUUUGUGCUAAUACCGCAUGUGCCCUUCGGGGGAAAGAUUUAUCGGUAAAGGAUGGGCCCGCGUCUGAUUAGCUAGUUGGUGAGGUAAUGGCUCACCAAGGCGACGAUCAGUAGCUGGUCUGAGAGGAUGAUCAGCCACAUUGGGACUGAGACACGGCCCAAACUCCUACGGGAGGCAGCAGUGGGGAAUAUUGCACAAUGGGCGCAAGCCUGAUGCAGCCAUGCCGCGUGUAUGAAGAAGGCCUUCGGGUUGUAAAGUACUUUCAGCGGGGAGGAAGGGAGUAAAGUUAAUACCUUUGCUCAUUGACGUUACCCGCAGAAGAAGCACCGGCUAACUCCGUGCCAGCAGCCGCGGUAAA
rnacentral:rRNA from 1 species